CCUACGGGUGGCAGCAGUGGGGAAUAUUGGGCAAUGGGCGCAAGCCUGCCCCAGCAACGCCGCGUGAAGGAAGAAGGCUUUCGGGUUGUAAACUUCUUUUAUCAGGGACGAAGCAAGUGACGGUACCUUAUGAAUAAGCCACGGCUAACUACGUGCCAGCAGCCGCGGUACUACGUCGGUGGCAAGCGUUAUCCGGAUUUACUGGGUGUAAAGGGCGUGUAGGCGGGAACGCAAGUCAGAUGUGAAAACCAUGGGCUUAACCUGUGGACUGCAUUUGAGACUGCUUUUGUUGAGUACUGGAGAGGCGGACGGAACUCCUGGUGUAGCGGUGAAAUGCGUAGAUAUUAGGAAGAACACCAGUGGCGAAAGCGGUCUGCUGGACAGCAACUGACGCUGAGGCGCGAAAGCGUGGGGAGCAAACAGGAUUAGAUACCCGAGUAGUC
rnacentral:rRNA from 1 species